GUGCAAAACUGAUUUGGAAGUCUUAGUUGUAGAGAAAACUCACCUCACAAAUCCUUCAUCCUUUUCUUUCAAGAAACUCCCUUUGUUUUUCUCAAAGAAGUCCAAGCUUGGAUCCAAGACCAAAAUCUUCACUUCACUUCUGAGUUUCUUAAGUAACGAGUAGAUGCAUGGGGAAAAAGGGGAUGAACCUACUAAAUAAAAGAAAGUUUUUCCUACUACUAUUUCAAGAGAAUGAGUACUGUAAUAUAUUUUGCUAAACUUUGGUAUUGUACAAAUAAUGAUGUCGUUUUCUAAUAAAAGUACUAUUCAGAUA